CGGCCUGAGGUCGGACGAGGCUACCCGCUGAAUUUAAGCAUAUUACUAAGCGGAGGAAAAGAAACUAACGAGGAUUCCCUCAGUAACGGCGAGUGAAGCGGGACGAGCCCAGCGCCGAAUCCGGCCGCUUAUGGAGCGGACGGAAUUGUGGCGUAUGGAAUUCGCUUCGAGCGCGGACCGGCUGCCCACGUCCUUCUGAUCGAGGCUUCAUCCCAUAGC
rnacentral:ncRNA from 1 species